AUUCCUAGUGAUUAGAGUUUGAUCAUGGCUCAGAUUGAACGCUGGCGGCAGGCCUAACACAUGCAAGUCGAGCGGUAGCACAGAGAGCUUGCUCUCGGGUGACGAGCGGCGGACGGGUGAGUAAUGUCUGGGAAACUGCCUGAUGGAGGGGGAUAACUACUGGAAACGGUAGCUAAUACCGCAUAAUGUCGCAAGACCAAAGAGGGGGACCUUCGGGCCUCUUGCCAUCAGAUGUGCCCAGAUGGGAUUAGCUAGUAGGUGGGGUAACGGCUCACCUAGGCGACGAUCCCUAGCUGGUCUGAGAGGAUGACCAGCCACACUGGAACUGAGACACGGUCCAGACUCCUACGGGAGGCAGCAGUGGGGAAUAUUGCACAAUGGGCGCAAGCCUGAUGCAGCCAUGCCGCGUGUAUGAAGAAGGCCUUCGGGUUGUAAAGUACUUUCAGCGGGGAGGAAGGCGAUAAGGUUAAUAACCUUGUCGAUUGACGUUACCCGCAGAAGAAGCACCGGCUAACUCCGUGCCAGCAGCCGCGGUAAUACGGAGGGUGCAAGCGUUAAUCGGAAUUACUGGGCGUAAAGCGCACGCAGGCGGUCUGUCAAGUCGGAUGUGAAAUCCCCGGGCUCAACCUGGGAACUGCAUUCGAAACUGGCAGGCUAGAGUCUUGUAGAGGGGGGUAGAAUUCCAGGUGUAGCGGUGAAAUGCGUAGAGAUCUGGAGGAAUACCGGUGGCGAAGGCGGCCCCCUGGACAAAGACUGACGCUCAGGUGCGAAAGCGUGGGGAGCAAACAGGAUUAGAUACCCUGGUAGUCCACGCCGUAAACGAUGUCGACUUGGAGGUUGUGCCCUUGAGGCGUGGCUUCCGGAGCUAACGCGUUAAGUCGACCGCCUGGGGAGUACGGCCGCAAGGUUAAAACUCAAAUGAAUUGACGGGGGCCCGCACAAGCGGUGGAGCAUGUGGUUUAAUUCGAUGCAACGCGAAGAACCUUACCUACUCUUGACAUCCAGAGAACUUUCCAGAGAUGGAUUGGUGCCUUCGGGAACUCUGAGACAGGUGCUGCAUGGCUGUCGUCAGCUCGUGUUGUGAAAUGUUGGGUUAAGUCCCGCAACGAGCGCAACCCUUAUCCUUUGUUGCCAGCGGUUAGGCCGGGAACUCAAAGGAGACUGCCAGUGAUAAACUGGAGGAAGGUGGGGAUGACGUCAAGUCAUCAUGGCCCUUACGAGUAGGGCUACACACGUGCUACAAUGGCGCAUACAAAGAGAAGCGACCUCGCGAGAGCAAGCGGACCUCAUAAAGUGCGUCGUAGUCCGGAUUGGAGUCUGCAACUCGACUCCAUGAAGUCGGAAUCGCUAGUAAUCGUAGAUCAGAAUGCUACGGUGAAUACGUUCCCGGGCCUUGUAGA
rnacentral:rRNA from 1 species